UGGGGAAUUUUGGACAAUGGGCGCAAGCCUGAUCCAGCAAUGCCGCGUGAGUGAAGAAGGCCUUCGGGUUGUAAAGCUCUUUCAGUCGAGAAGAAAAGGUUGUGACCAAUAAUCACAACUCAUGACGGUAUCGACAGAAGAAGCACCGGCUAACUACGUGCCAGCAGCCGCGGUAAUACGUAGGGUGCGAGCGUUAAUCGGAAUUACUGGGCGUAAAGGGUGCGCAGGCGGUUUUGUAAGUCAGAUGUGAAAUCCCCGGGCUUAACCUGGGAACUGCGUUUGAAACUACAAGACUAGAGUGUGGCAGAGGGGGGUGGAAUUCCAUGUGUAGCAGUGAAAUGCGUAGAGAUAUGGAAGAACAUCGAUGGCGAAGGCAGCCCCCUGGGUUAACACUGACGCUCAUGCACGAAAGCGUGGGGAGCAAACAGGAUUAGAUACCCAAGUAGUCCCUGAGCGGGCUGGCAAGGCGCAU
rnacentral:rRNA from 1 species